CGCAAUUUAACAUCGCAAAUGCCUUUAGAUUAGGCAUACCAAAUUUGGUGUUGAUCUGAAUAAAUCUCUAGGAGGAGUUCGUUAAAAUACAAGGCAUGCAAAUGACAAAAAUGAUGCAAAAUUUGCUCAUAAAAUUAAAAAUAACCGACUUCCUGUUGGGUUUCGGAUAUUGCUCCAAGAGUCUUUUUUGUAGGUACUGAUGCUUUACAUAUGUGUGCCAAUUUUCGUGCAUGUACGUGAAACACAGCUCGAGGGCUGUUGAUUUUUUUACGAUAGGUGGCGCUGUCGAGCCAUUUUGCCACACCCUCUUCUGAAACCUAUAUCAGAUGUAAAUUUUCACCAGGUCUGACGCGUGUGCAAAGUUUCAGGACUUUUCGAGCAUGUUUAGGCCCUCAAAAAUGCGAUUCAUUUUGGAGAAGAAGAAGAAGAAGAAGAAGAAGAAGAAGAAGAAGAAGAAUUAAAGCUGCAAGCAGCGAUGAACGGGCCCUCGCACCCGGGCUCACCGCCAGCGGGUGGCUUUUAUAAAACAGCGAACGGCGAGAUAUAUGGGUUUAAUGUGGUAAAUAUAAGAGAAAUAUGUCAAUGUCAUUUAUAUGUGCCAAUCUUCCUGCUGCCAGCUGGUGGCGCUAUGACUAUAACUGGAUUUUGUCAUGUAGAUUUCUUCAGUCCAGCACUUUUAUCAAGCUUAUGAAAUUUAGUGCAGAUUGAACAUGGAAUGUUUGAGUUAGUAUAAAGCAUGUUGUGUCCUAUUGCCAACAGGUGGCGCUAUGAUUAUAACUGAACAUUGGCCUUUAGAUAUCUUCAGGCCAUGACUCUUUUCAAAAAUUUGAAGUUUGGUGCAGAUUGGACAUUGCAUGUUUAAGUUAGUGUAAAACAAGCCAUUUUCUGUUGUCAGCAGGUGGCGCUAUGAUCAUAGUGGAAUAAUGACCUUCAGAUGUGUUCAGGCCAAGACUCUUUUCGAACAUGUGAAGUUUGGGGAAGAUCGGACAUCUUAUGCCUGAGUUACAACAACUUCUAUUCCCAUGGCGAGACAUCGAACUUUGUCACAGCGCCAUGGCCACACCCUUUAAUGAAACCUCAAGAUGUUUACAAUUUACACUGGGAAAGGCCUUUAGAUUAGACUGACCAAAAAAAUUAUAAAAUGUCAUAAAAUUUCUAGGAGUAGUAUGUUACGGCGUAAAACAUGUCACUUCCUGUUGCCAGCAGUUGGCGCUAUAGCGAUAUCUGAAUAUUGGCAUGUAGAUAUAUUCAGGUUAGGAGUCUUCUCAAACAUGUGAAGUUUGGGGCAGAUUGGACAUUGUAUGUCUGAGUUAUAGCAACUUCCUUUCUCAUGGCGAAACAUCGAAAUUUGUAAGGCCGCCACAGACACGCCCUUAAACGAAACCUCAAGAUCUUCGCAAUUUAACAUCGCAAAGGCCUUUAGAUUACACUGACAAAGUUUGGUGUUGAUCUGAAUAAAUCUCUAGGAGGAGUUCGUUAAAGUACAACCCCC
ensembl:lncRNA